rnacentral:rRNA from 1 species
AGAGUUUGAUCCUGGCUCAGGACGAACGCUGGCGGCGUGCUUAACACAUGCAAGUCGAACGGUAAGCGCAUCUUCGGGUGUGUACGAGUGGCGAACGGGUGAGUAACACGUGGGUGAUCUGCCCUGCACUUUGGGAUAAGCCUGGGAAACUGGGUCUAAUACCGGAUAGGACCAUGGGAUGCAUGUUUCGUGGUGGAAAG